GGAUCUGGAGUUGCUAUGGCUGUGACGUAGGCCAGUGGCUACAGCUCUGAUUUGACCCCUAGCCUGGGAACCUCCAUAUGCUGUGGGUGUGGUCCUAAAACACACACACACACACAAACACACACACGCACACAUGCACACACACACACACAAAGAUGGAGGAGGGGGAGGGAAAAGAAAUUAGGAUUUAAUAAGGAAAAACAUCAAUGCCAAAGAGCUGGUAAAAUCUCCAGGAAGGUAGGCCAGGGCAAAAAUGUUGAGUUCAGAAAUAUUUAGGUUCAAAUCUCAGCUGCCACUUACUACCUAUUUAAGCAAGUUACUUAACCUUUAUGAACCUCAGUUUCCUUGCUUUAAGUUGGAAAUGUAGUACCCAUCAUAAUGAAUUAUUGUGAGAAUUACUGAGAUUAUGUGAGGGGUCUGAAUUUAGUAUUUAGUACGUGAUGAUAUUCAACAAGUAAUAAUUGUUACUAUUAAUGUUAUGAUUAUACCUUUGUAAAUCAGCAUGAAAUAACUAAAUUGAUUAUAUUUAAGUUUCUAUUCCUUCUAUUCUAACACUCACUAGCUGUAUGACUUUGGGCACAUGUAAUUUCUCUGGUCUUAGUUUUCUAAUAUAUAAAAUUAUAAUAGUCAUGUAGUACCUAUUUCAUACUAUUGUUGUAAGGACUAAAUAUGUUAUUACUUGUAAUGCUCUGAGAACAGCGAUCUUGCACAUGAUAAGUAUACAAUAAAUGUUAGCUAUUACUGUUACUACCACUAUUAUCAUUACUGUUGUUAUUGUUAUUAUUCUCAACCAAGGAUUAACAUGUACUAAUUGAGCACUAUUACGAGCCAACAGUGUUGGUAAAAGAUUUGUGAGCUCUACUGAAUAUUAAACUGUGUAGUAUUGAAUCUAAGUUCCUAGCACUAAGUACUCGCAGUAUUUAAUUAAUUAAUGAAGAUAUGCAUUUGUAAUCCAGAGAACAGACAGUGAACUGAUGAGGAAGAGUCAGGAAACACAUUAUUUAUAUUUUGUGAGAACUGAGUACAUGAGGAGAAAAAAAGGAGUCUCAGGCUGGGACAACAGCAUGAAAGUAUAAGUGGAGUAAAAUGCAUAUGGAGAAACAAAUGUACACCAGUAGUGGAAUGAAUAUAAGAAACUGGAAUAUAGGAAAGUAAUUUAGUGAAUUAAUAUAGAGCAGAAAAACUUAACUAAUUAUAUCUAUAUAUCAGUAUGAAUGAACCUCACAAACAGAUCAUGGAGUGAAAUAAGCAAGCCACAAAAUAAAAGCUAGUACUUUUCUGUUUAUAUAAAAUUCUAAGAUGGGCAAAAACCAAUUACAUUGUUAUAGGAUAACAUAUGUAAGUGAUAAAACUAUUAACAAUGAUUAUCGCAAAAGUUAGAAUAGUGGUUACAGCUGUGGAAAGGAAGAGACACUCUCUGAAGUAUUAAUGUUCUAUCAUUUCUUAAUGGAUGUAAAUGAGAGAAACUGUUUGCUUUACAAUUGCUUUUUAAUCUACACCUAUGCUUUAUAUAUUCCUUUUCAUACAUGACAUGUUUCUUUCUUUCUUUUUUUUUUUUGGCUUUUUGUCUUUUCAGGGCCACACCCACGGCAUAUAGAGGUUCCAGGCUAGGGGUUGAAUCGGAGCUGUAGCCGCUGGCCUACACCACAGCCACAGCAACGCAGGAUCCAAGCACGUCUGUGACCUAUAUCACAGCUCAUGGCAACGCCGGAUCCUUAACCCACUGAGUGAGGCCAGGGAUCGAACUGCAACCUCAUGGUUCCUAGUAAGAUUCAUUUCCUCUGUGCCACGACAGGAACUCCAUAGAUGAUGUAUUUCAUAAUAAAAAGUAAAAUCACUUAAAAGUUAUGGUAUGUUGUAGAGGGCAGGAAUUAAAACAAAUAAGGUGAUAUUCAAUCCAUUUCUUUUUAAGUGGUAAGUGGCAUCUGAUUGGUUGCUUUUAUCCGCCUGUAACUUAAAAAUCUCAUCUUCCUCAAUAUAUAAAAACAAAUAAUGGAAGUCAUCAAGCAGAGUCAAGGUCAUGAUGGGAAUAUUGAAACCUCAGAGAGGAAUGUUACCUCUGACACCUAGCUAGUUGGGCUGGGGUAUCAGGCAUAAGGCAGGAGGGAGGCACGAUAGCUGGCAGUUGUCUAUGGAUAUUCAGGGCUUCCUCAUCACAAUUGAGGCCCUUAUUCUCGUUGACAAAUGACACCCCACCAAAAGAGAUGGUGGAAUUCAUUCUGCUACUGAGGGUAUGGUUAAUGCAGAUUCUGGUCAGUCCUCAGUGGGAAAAUGGAAGAGAUCAAGUGAGGAUAUACCAAAGGAAUGUACUUCUACAAGGAAGAUCAGAAAGAGAUAUAAGCUGAUAUAUGUGCAAGUUUAGACACUUGGAGUUUAUCUCAUGUGUCCGAAAUCUGCCCCAGACAUUCCAUUACUCAUUGCUUUUUCUCUUUUAAUCCUACUGUUGAGGAAAUGAGAUGCAAGUCGAGCAGAUGGGAGCUAAAAUCAAUAAGUUUACAUUCUUUUGAAUGUUUCUAGAAUUUAGCCAGUAAGGAAAAGUUUUAUUCUGAGCUCAUUAUUUUUUUUAAUGGCCAUCCAGCUAAGAGCUAGAUAGCUGGAUCUUUGGAAAUAUUUCUGUGUUAUUUGGAUUCAAUUAAAAUCUCUCUGUCUCUGUCUUUCAGAAAUUAUUCUGAGAACAAGGUAAUGUCCAAGACUGAGAAUACUAGAAUACCAUAGCAGAUAAAUCUGCUGUAUUAUCUUAUUGUUGUUUUUGUACAUAAGUUGUAGACACUUUACAUAAUCCCUCAACAACCUUGCAAAAUUGUGAUUUUUUUUUUCUAGAUAAGAAAACUGAGGCUCUGCGGGAUUAAAUAACCUGACCAAGAAUGUAUAGUGAAGCUAGGCUGCCAACUCAGUUCUCUCUGAUCACAAAGCAGAAGUGGGAAUUAGAUUACAAGUUCAUGAAGGAAGGAGCCAUUUCUGUGCUGGUCAUUGUUACUGGGUUCCCCAGAAUCAGACUCGCUGACUGAGAGUUAUGUGAAGAUUACUGAAGAGUGCUUUGGGGAGCAUCAGAUGAGGAGACCCAGCCUUGGCUGGAGGAACAGGUCAGGUACUGGCAAAUGGCAUGGUGUGACCUGAGCCAAUAGAAGAGGAUUCAAAGGCCUUUCUAUUUCUCACCAAGUUCUUUUCAGUUUUUAUCUGGUACCUGGAUCAGAAAGUAUUUGUGCCAACAUCACCUCCUUUAUUUUUUAAGGUAAAGGACUAUGAUUUUAGUAUUUUGAAGUCAGUAACCCCAGAUAAUCUAAGGAACCAACAAGCAAUGGGAGAAGGGGGAAACCUUUCUUUAAAAGGAGUUCCAAAAGGGACAGUCCAGUUACUUUAGUGGUCAGACGUGCUCCCAUUUCUACCAGAAGAUUGAGGAUGGAGCUGUGUACCUAUGUAUCUUUUAUCGUAGUCUUUCCUUUUUUUUUUAAUCUUUUAUCCUACCAAUAAAAACAAACUUGUUAUCCUUUCUAUGCAAGGGUAACUACCAUACCC
rnacentral:lncRNA from 1 species